rnacentral:lncRNA from 1 species
CACUGAACUGACCACCUGUUGAGCUGUAAACUCUAAAAUAGCAGAAAGCAUUGACUCCACCAUGCUUGGCUCACAAUAUCUCUCAUAUACUAGGAAAAUGAGGCUGAGAGUUAAGGAAAUUGGUCAAGGUUGCAGGCAGUGAGUGACAGCUGGGAUUCAUGAAGACUGUCUUUAAGUGUCACCGCCAACCACUCAGUUAUUUUUGUCUCUCAGUAUUAAUUAAUAUACUUGAGAAUGAAUUUAUGAAGCUCCCAGAAAUGUCAGCUCACAGGCAGAAUUCCAGGGCGAUGAUGCAGAGGCUAAGAACAGAGGAGUCAUGUUACCCAUUGGCUCUGAUUCUUCACCCUACCUGCCCACACCCUUUGCCCAGUGACUUUGCAGUUCCUCCCCUGUGGGGGAAGUGAAUUUCCUCCCUCCGUCUCCUUGACUCUGGGUGGGCUGUGUGACUUUUCCUUGCUCAAUAGAAUGAGAAGGAGGUGGCGCACCGGCUACAAGGCUAGACCGGGGGCUCGCAUAUCUCCACUUGCAGCUGCCACUGCCAUUAGAAGAACUUGCUCAGCCAGCUCCUGGGCCCCAGGAAAAGGACAAGUGUCACCCAGAACAGAGCCACCUCCAGCUGCACUCAGCUCCAGAAGCUGGCCCAGCCGGUCCAGUACACCUUUUAAAUAAUGUCCUCUACGUGCCGGUGUGGAAGUAGCCCGGAUGCAAUUGAAUGAACAACAGACGGUGCUUUCCAGGACGGCGCUGUGCUUUCCAGGAUGGUGCUGUGCUUUCAUUCAUUUGGGUAGCUCCUCUGUGAGCCUCCCAGCGCCGACUGCAGAGCCCCCACUCUCCAGCCUGCAAGACCCCGAAAUUCAAGCCACACAAAGAAAGGAGGAGGGGGCCGUUGGCAUUUACUGAACCUUAUAAAACUGUCAGCAAAACAGCCCUUAGGCUUGGACUCCCUGCUAGCCGGGUUUUACGGUGCUGAAGUCAGCAUCUUGAUUCAGCUGCAUAAAUAAUCUCCUGCAGUCCUGCAAGGCCUGGGGUAGGAGAGGGUAUGGGGACCAGGGCACUCUGUAAGGGCUGGGAUAGGAACCCCAGGGAAUAAGACAGACCAACUGCGGGACUUCAGACUCCACUGCAGCCGGGAUCGGGUUGUUGUUAAUUUCUUAAGCAAUUUCUAAAUUCUGUAUUGACUCUCUCAUGCAUGUAACUGAUCCUUAGAUAUUGUCAGCCAAAUGACUAAAGGAUUUAGAAAUCUGA